GGGGGUAUAGCUCAGUGGUAGAGUGCAUGCCUAGCAUGCACAAGGUCCUAGGUUCAAUCCCCAGGACCUCCA
rnacentral:tRNA from 1 species